rnacentral:rRNA from 1 species
GACGAACGCUGGCGGCGUGCUUAACACAUGCAAGUCGAACGAAGAGCGACGGAAGCUUGCUUCUAUCAAUCUUAGUGGCGAACGGGUGAGUAACGCGUAAUCAACCCGCCCUUCAGAGGGGGACAACAGUUGGAAACGACUGCUAAUACCGCAUACGAUCUAAUCUCGGCAUCGAGGAUGGAUGAAAGGUGGCCUCUACAUGUAAGCUAUCACUGAAGGAGGGGAUUGCGUCUGAUUAGCUAGUUGGAGGGGUAACGGCCCACCAAGGCGAUGAUCAGUAGCCGGUCUGAGAGGAUGAACGGCCACAUUGGGACUGAGACACGGCCCAGACUCCUACGGGAGGCAGCAGUGGGGAAUCUUCCGCAAUGGACGAAAGUCUGACGGAGCAACGCCGCGUGAGUGAUGACGGCCUUCGGGUUGUAAAGCUCUGUUAAUCGGGACGAAAGGCCUUCUUGCGAAUAGUGAGAAGGAUUGACGGUACCGGAAUAGAAAGCCACGGCUAACUACGUG